UGAAAUUAAAAUUUUAAUAGUUUGAAAGCCCUAGUUUGAAUAUAAUACACUAGACUUAAAAUCUGGUUGAUCUAAGGAAAGCAGGAAUUGGCUCACUAACAACUUCUGCUAAUUGUAGGUCUAGGAAUCACCAGUUAGCAGAAACAAAAGUUAAAAGUUAAAAUGGAACUUAAAGCUGUUUGGUAAAAGUACAACCCGGUUGAUUAGAUAGAUUUUAUCAGCCCUAAGUCUAGUCAUGUAUCAGUUUUACAGUUAUCCUCAGAUGGAGUUGCUGAUGUUUAAGAAUUUAUGAAGAAUGUUGCUGGUUUAAAUCGUUUUAAUACAGAGGGAUUUAAACUUUGCAGAGGGACAGAAAUCAACAGGAACAAAAAGGAUUUGGAAAAAUUAAAGGGCAGAACCCAAAGGAUUUUUUAAAAAUGUAAACACAUUCUCUAAAUUAGAUAAUUUGACUAAAGGUACACAUGGUUGUGUGCCCUCUUCUGCUGCAAAUUAUAUUGAAAAUGAUGCUUGAACGUUCCACAUGCCAGAUGUAACUUUGUUUUCUUUACUAAUUUCUUACUUGGAAGAUGGAGUUAUAAAACAUUCUCCCUUAACCCACCCCAGUAGUGGUUCUUAAUUUGACUGGGGCCCACAAACAGCGGUGAAUUAUUCAGAAAAAUGGUUUUAAAGGGUUUGUCCUCUUCAGUAUUACAGCUGAUUGUGAUUAUGCUCGCUGGGACAAAACAUUUGGUACAUAAUUUUCCCAUGUGGCUCAGGAUGGGGAGAGGAAGAGUAAAUAAUAAUUAAAAAAAGAAGGUAUUACAAGAUCUACUAUUUAAAUUGCCAUUACAGGGAACGAAACAGAAAGUGAGUAAAAUAAAAAGUGAACAUGUGAUGUUUCAGCAGUUGGAUCUUCAACCCUGAAGGUGUCACCUCAGUUUAAUUAACUCCAAGGAGGAGGCUUGCCUAUUGCCUCCUUUUCUCUAUUCUUUAUUUAUUUACAGGUCUGUUGGUUGCUGAACGUGGAAGCAGAUGGAUUGGUGGUCAGUGUGGCGUCGAGUAUUGAACCCAGGGCGUGAUGGAUGAGUGUUUGGAGCUGAUAUGGUGGACAUGUUAAAGCACCCAUCGACAUACAAUCGUGAUUGUCCUGGACAUUGAACACCUGUGGGCUGUUUCACCCCACCAGCAGGUCAACCUGGUAUGAAGCAACCAAGUCCUGACAUGACCUCACCUCGUCAAGGUCAGUACCCCUGCAAGGGGAUAACUCGUCUGAUGACACACCCCUGAGCAUGGCCAGCUGCAUGAGCACUGCAGACUCCGAGCUGUCAACGGAAAAGACUGCAUGAACUUUUGGUGGACACUGGAGACACAUAUGGGCCUCUGAGUUGUGGACUAAGACUGUCACUGAAUAUGAUACUGAGAGAAGAAACAGUGUCUGCCCUUGUGAGCUGAGGGGGAGAAAGCAUUGCUAGCAUCUAUUGAGGACUGAGAACAGAGCCUGCUACAACUGGUGUUCUCUCCAGCAAUGGAAGAUGUAACGUCUGGGUUCCUGCUCUUCUUCCCACCUGACCCGCCACACGUCACUCUGUUCUACGACAGCAACCGCACAGACUGGUAUCAUGAUUCUUUAAGGUAAAACACAGACAGUCAUUCUAGGAAUAUGUAUGUGGCACCUGAGCAUUUGGCAGCUGCUACUGCUGAACAAUUUAUAAUGAUAUAUGAUGUCGGAUGAAACGAUUUCACACAUUUCUCUUUCUCUCCAUGUUGAGCACCAGAAAGAAGUAAGGGCGUGGUUAAACAUUCCCUUCAGGCAACUGAUUGGGCUCCUACCAGCGUGCAGUUUCAGAUUAUAUUGGAGAUUCCUAAGGAAUGUGAAGGAGGGUCCACAACCCCCAGACCUCGGCUGAGUGCGCGCUAAGUUCAACGAAGGACAGAAGUGGGGGUUGUGAUUUAGGGUGCUCUGACCAGAGUGCGGAGCCGUGAGGUCCCACCACAGGGUGCCAAAGGAAACACCGAGACCAGCGCAGAACCAGAGUGGGAAAGUCAUCAAAAGAAAGUGGUCAGAACCAAGGUGGACCAGCCCGUACCAGAUGGUGGAACGCACUUCGCACGCAGUCAGGCUCAAAGGAAAAGGCGACACCUGGUAUCAUUGGAGUCAGUGUGCAGCCACUGAGGAACCCCAGCGCUCUCAAACAUCAGGUGCGCCAGGAUUUACAGGAUAAGACCACAACGCUGUGAAAGGGAGCCUAUCGGUGAAUCCUCUACUCAACCACGGUCAUAAUAAAACCCGUAGAGAGAUUCAGUGAGCUUAAGCUCACUCACAAAAAUCGCGCAAAGGAGACAAAGCAGAAGAACAAAGAAGAAGAGGCGGAAGAAGUGGGCAGUGAGCUGCUCUCCUGCUCCAGAAAGAAAAAAAAAAGAA